UCGUCUGAACUCCACGCUGGCCGGUGUUCCGAGAUGUAAAGGACGGAGAGAGCAAGGAGCUGCGGCCUCCGGGAGGUUUCGUCACGUUCCCAUCAGCAGCCCCCGGAGCGGGGUCUGAUUAGCAGGCCAGAUCCAGCUGAUAGCUGUUAUGAGGACUUUGCUGACUUCAGAAAGCUGAGCAUAAUAUCAACAGACUUCAAUGAAAGGAAAUAAUAUCACUCCAAGCAACUUGUACACAGACAGCUUUCGGUAGCUUUAAAUUAACUGGUUGCUCAACUGCAAGGACACAGCUAUUUUUUCUUUCGGCACACAUGGAGGAAAGCAACAAAAUUUGUAACCCUGGCUAAUAGGACUGUGGCUUUCUUAUCAAAAGUAGGAGGUGCGCCAACUGUAAAAUGAUUAUUUUAUACUUAGCCUGAAGGACUUUAUCUCUGCUUGAACACUGGACAUAAACUGAAGCCAGUUUUAAUGAUCUGAGAUUUUGCUACUUGUCCUUUAUUAUUGUUAUUAGCUCUUUAACACUUUGAUAC
rnacentral:lncRNA from 1 species